GAUCCCAUAGUGUAGUGGUUAGCACGUUGGCUUUUGACGCCAAAGACCCGAGUUCAAAUCUCGUUGGGAUCU